GCCGCGGGUGGAAGCGGCGGCCACGGCGGUGGCGGCAGCCGCGGCGUAGGAGGAGGAGGAAGAGGAGGAAGAGGCUGCUGCCGCGUCGGUAGCUGCUCCUGCUGCGAAUCUUUCAGCUCCCUGGGCCGAGUGCGUGCCCAGCUUCGGGACUGCGGGAGCCGAAAGAAGACAGCUGCCAUCUCAGAAUGGACUGAAUCUUGGAGGAAAACCUGAAAGAGCCUUCCUUCAUUUGGUCAUUCAGCAAGUUUUUGUGAGUUCAUAUGUGUGAGACACUGAGUAUGCAGAGACCUACCAGUCUAAUUUAGAUUUGUUUGGUCCUCAAACUGCUUGCCACCUGGAGAGAGAGAAAGAAAAUAUAUAAUAAUGAAACAAGGAAAAAGACAGGACAGAUAAGCUCCUGCUUGGAUUACAGUGAAGAGAAAGAUAAAUAACCUCAAAUGCUGUUCUUGGAGAAUUUUUUAAUACUACGCAGACGAUAUGGGCCCACUAGGAGAGAGUAUUUAGUGACUAGAAAAUUUUGGCAUCCCAAGACAAGAUGUCAGCCUUUCAUUUAGGUGAAGAGAUGAAGACAUUCACUCACCUGGUCCAGGUCAUCCAGCUUGGUGCUGGAGCUCAGUCUCAGACGCAGCCUGUCUGACUCCAAGGCUUUCCUCUGUCCAUUUCCUACACAAACUCUAUCUGGAUGAGGUGAAAGAGAGAGAAACAAAAGGAGAGUAAAGGAAAGGAAAUGAAGACUAGAAUAAAAUAGCAAAAAGCUGGCACACUCAUGGGAGUGCUGGGGCAGGACCAACAAUUGUUCCCGUGACCCUUCAAUAGCACAAAUGCCUGAGUUCAGCUUUGUCACAGCUCAACAAGCCUGAGAUUUCUUGAUCAAUAUCACCCCCAGAGUGAGAAUUUGGGGAGCAUUGCAGAUGGGUCUGUUCCCACUCAAUAUGCUUACAUUACUUGGUUUAGAAAAGGGUAGGGGCUGUUUCCUGAAAUCAAGACCUCUGUAUGAUAAAUAUUCUCUUUCAAGCUAAGUGGCAGUGGAGAGACUUCAAGUGGUGCUACAAACCCUUAAGCCCGAUUGUGGUUCAAGUGCUAAAUAUUUAGGUGCUACAUGAGCAUCAAUUUCAAUGGCACCCUGCAGGGAUUUCCUCAGGAGGAACUAUGUUUUGUGAGUAUGCACCUGGUCUCUCUUUAAUAAGUGACAAUGUGACUUACUUAAUAAGAAGAAAGUGAGGGAAGACUAAUAGACCGAGUCAUACUGGUUGUUACAUGUGACAAGCAUUUGUUUUCUUCUUUCAUUGAAGAGGUUUGGUGGAGUAGAUCUUAGAGACCGUUUCAAAACCUUUGCUUGUUUACAUUAGGCUCAAGAGAAAUUGCCAUUCAUUAAGAACAAGACUCCAGUGAAAUGAGAAAUGAUACACCUAAUUAAAUCAAUAUUUGUCAGUGAACAUGUAGUUCAAGUUAAAAAUAUCUUUCUCAUUUUGUUUUGUUCAUUCAAAACACAUUGUCAAAUAACUAACUCUCUCAAAGUAUUCUUCAAGAAAUGGCAGCCAUGAUACCAAAUGGUGUACCAUUUGAAUACAAUAGAAACAUUUGAAAGUGGUAAUUUUAAUCAUAAACAAUAUCUGUCCUAUUCUAAAACAGAAAUUAUGAUUUCAGACCCAGAAAAGCCAGAGCAUCUGAAAAGUUAAUAACUCCAACAACAAAAUCACAAAGACCUCAUUGGCAUAUGAAUAUUGUAAGAGUAAUAACAAAGACAUUUGGGAAAAAUUUAUAUCUAUUGUAUUCAAAUGGAUUAUUUUCUAAAGUUUCCUCUAACAUCUGCUUUUUCAAUGCCAGCCAGCGAAUGGUAACAUGAUUGAACCAUAUUUUUAACCUCUUGGGUUUCAUAUUGUUUAAAUUUGUCAUGCUACAAUAUUUUUUGACAGACAGCAUUUCAAUCUUUGUUUGAGAUUCUUAGAGUAAUUUCUAGGAGAGCUGAAAACUAACUUCUUAGGAAGUGAUUCUUUAUCUGUAUCAGCAGAAAUAGAUUCAGAUAACAGCUGGCUUAAGCAGAAUGUGUGAAGCAAUGGUACUAAUGGUUGGUAAUUGAUGCUACAUGACCACUCACGAUGUUUAAUUUCUUACAAAAUCAGUUUGGUCUAUAGUUUACUGUUAUUUUUAUUAUCAUUUUGAUUUUAUGUUGCAACUAGGGCAAUCUAACCUAUAUUUUGCAAAUACCAAUGUUUUCUCUCAGAUGUAAUUUAUUUGCAGUGAAUUUUAUUUUUAAUGAGCCUUUCUUCCCCUUUCAUGCCUCCACAACUCUAGACAAAGUCAACUCCCAAUGGAGUGGAUCAGGACCUCUUGAUGUUUUCAAUCUUACUUUUCCUCUUGUUAAUUCUUGGGGCUGUAUUCCAGUAAAAUAAAUUUAAAAAGUAUCAGUGGCUGAUAAUAUCUUACUAAUUUCUAAGAUUAACAAACAGCCAUAAAAACUUAUUAUGCAUGUACUAUAUACUGGAUGGAGUUAUGCUUAUAUCCGACAUUAUAACGCACACACACAGACCCCACGCAGGACUGCCCAGAUUGAAAUGUAACAAUGGGCUCAUGAUUUUGAAUAAAUCAAAUCGUAUUAUCUUCUUGAUAAUAGUUUGUGUUCAAAUAUGAAAGAUAAUGAGCAUUAUACAAUACUCUUUCAAAGUCUACUGGCAUUGAUGGAUAAAUAUAUAUUAAUAAAUAUUGGCUUAUUAAGAGGAGAUAUAUCUCAUUUUAGGCAUACCUAUUCAUAUAGUAGUCAGAAAAAGAAUUAUAAAACAGAGUAAUUAGGAGUGGUUAUUUAUUCUAUGUAAGGGUAACAAAGAAGAUUUUUUAAAAUUGUGAACUCUGAUUUAAACAUUAUCAUUAGUAAUUAGAUUUUAAAAAUUUAAUUUGUGCAUUAGCUUUAGGGGUAUACCUUUUACCAUUACAACUGCACAGAUUUAUAAAUUUAUGUAUCUGAGCUACUUCCUAAAGAAUAUCCAUUUGGAUAAAGUGCUAAAUUCAGGUCAAAUUACUAUUUUCCUUUUUUUAAUUGGAGAUGGAGUCUCACUAUGUUGCCCAGGUUGAAGGCAGUGGCUAUUCCCAGGCAUGAUCAUAGUACACUGCAGCCUCAAACUCUUGGGCUCAAUCGAGCCUUCUGCCUCAGCCUCCCAUCAAAUUACUUUUUACAUUUUGAAAACAUUGUAUUUUAUUCUCUUAGAACAUUGAGAGUAAAUAUGGAAGAAGCAGUAGCUAAUAUCUAUUUACUAUUUAGUUUUUUCAGACUCUUUGCUAAGUUCUCUCUCUCAGCAUCCCAUUUAGCCUCAGAACAAUUUUUGAGAUGAGUGAAACACAGGCACACAAGUAACCGCAGCUACACCGCUAGUAAGAACCCAGGUCCAUAUGACUGCAAACAUCAUGCUUUCAAAAAGAAAAAAAUUUUUAUCAACCAUGAGAAACACAGCUAAAAACACCCUUAUUUUGGAAGGAAAUAAUAAAUAUUUUUGAGUACAAAGGGUCAGAUCAUUACACUCCAGCUACAUGUAAAAUAGAUUUUCUUUUCUAGUAGCCUAGCUUUGGGUUAAAACAAUCUAGGCUCUUCCAAAUUGGGGAAUUAGUGACUUAAUACUGAAAAUGCUUGAAGAAAAUGAUUCAUUGUACCAAUUAUAGCCUACUUGCAUAUUAAAUGCUCAGUUUUUAUGUGUAAACUAUGCCAAAUAUAGGGCCAUUUUAGCCACUGAAGUGUGUCUUUGUGUAAAUAAAAGUCAGCUCUCAUUGGUGCUAUCGCAGCGAUACAGAUGGGCUAUUCCUAGCAUGGUGCCAGCCCAUGGAAAGAUCUUAGAGGCCACAGACUGGUUUGACGUUUGACUUGGCUGUGAACCAACUACCAUAUGAUGAUUCCAUCCGUCUAUUUUGAUCGUCAGUUGUCUUCAUUAGCAUUCAUUCUGCUCUGGAGAUUCAGCCUUCACACAAAAGGUGGGUCCCUGGCCUCCCCCUUCUAUAGCACAGGCUAUGCGUAUUUUAUUAACUGCAGUGUGCAUUGGCAUCGUUCCUUGGUUCCAAACACUCUUGAAAUGCUAUCAACGUAAAUAAUUCUUUGUUCCUUGUCUAUGAAGGAACCACAGGUUCAAAAUCUCUGGCUCAUUAUGAUGCUGUAUUUUAUUUCAUUUUCCAUAUGGAGUGAGCAUAGCCCAUCUCUCAGAAUGUGGUGAAAGAUCUUUGCCAUAAUAACAAUAGAGCUUGGAAAAAACACUCAUCGGACCCAUGAGAGUUCUGAAGUGGCAUAGGUGU